rnacentral:rRNA from 1 species
GGGUUGUGAGGUUAAGCGACUAAGCGUACACGGUGGAUGCCCCGGCAGUCAGAGGCGAUGAAGGACGUGCUAAUCUGCGAUAAGCGUCGGUAAGGUGAUAUGAACCGUUAUAACCGGCGAUUUCCGAAUGGGGAAACCCAGUGUGAUUCGUCACACUAUCAUUAACUGAAUCCAUAGGUUAAUGAGGCGAACCGGGGAACUGAAACAUCUAAGUACCCCGAGGAAAAGAAAUCAACCGAGAUUCCCCAGUAGCGGCGAGCGAACGGGGAGGAGCCCAGAGCCUGAAUCAGUGUGUGUGUUAGUGGAAGCGUCUGGAAAGGCGCGCGAUACAGGGUGACAGCCCCGUACACAAAAUGCAUGCUGUGAGCUCGAUGAGUAGGGCGGGACACGUGGUAUCCUGUCUGAAUAUGGGGGACCAUCCUCCAAGGCUAAAUACUCCUGACUGACCGAUAGUGAACCAGUACCGUGAGGGAAAGGCGAAAAGAACCCCGGCGAGGGAGUGAAAAGAACCUGAAACCGUGUACGUACAAGCAGUGGGAGCCUCUUAAUGGGGUGACUGCGUACCUUUGUAUAAUGGGUCAGCGACUUAUAUUCUGUAGCAAGGUUAACCGAAUAGGGGAGCCGAAGGGAAACCGAGUCUUAACUGGGCGUUAAGUUGCAGGGUAUAGACCCGAAACCCGGUGAUUAGCCAUGGGCAGGUUGAAGGUUGGGUAACACUAACUGGAGGACCGAACCGACUAAUGUUGAAAAAUUAGCGGAUGACUUGUGGCUGGGGUGAAAGGCCAAUCAAACCGGGAGAUAGCUGGUUCUCCCGAAAGCUAUUUAGGUAGCGCCUCGUGAAUUCAUCUCCGGGGUAGAGCACUGUUUCGGCAAGGGGUCAUCCCGACUUACCAACCCGAUGCAAACUGCGAAUACCGGAGAAUGUUAUCACGGGAGACACACGGCGGGUGCUAACGUCCGUCGUGAAGAGGGAAACAACCCAGACCGCCAGCUAAGGUCCCAAAGUCAUGGUUAAGUGGGAAACGAUGUGGGAAGGCCCAGACAGCCGGAUGUUGGCUUAGAAGCAGCCAUCAUUUAAAGAAAGCGUAAUAGCUCACUGGUCGAGUCGGCCUGCGCGGAAGAUGUAACGGGGCUAAACCAUGCACCGAAGCUGCGGCAGCGACACUAUGUGUUGUUGGGUAGGGGAGCGUUCUGUAAGCCUGUGAAGGUGGCCUGUGAGGGUUGCUGGAGGUAUCAGAAGUGCGAAUGCUGACAUAAGUAACGAUAAAGCGGGUGAAAAGCCCGCUCGCCGGAAGACCAAGGGUUCCUGUCCAACGUUAAUCGGGGCAGGGUGAGUCGACCCUAAGGCGAGGCCGAAAGGCGUAGUCGAUGGGAAACAGGUUAAUAUUCCUGUACUUGGUGUUACUGCGAAGGGGACGGAGAAGGCUAUGUUGGUCGGGCGACGGUUGUCCCGGUUUAAGCGUGUAGGCUGGUUUUCCGUGCAAAUCCGGAAAACCAAGGCUGAGGCGUGAUGACGAGGCACUACGGUGCUGAAGUGACAAAUGCCCUGCUUCCGUGAAAAGCCUCUAAGCAUCAGGUAACAUCAAAUCGUACCCCAAACCGACACAGGUGGUCAGGUAGAGAAUACCAAGGCGCUUGAGAGAACUCGGGUGAAGGAACUAGGCAAAAUGGUGCCGUAACUUCGGGAGAAGGCACGCUGAUAUGUAGGUGAAGCGACUUGCUCGUGGAGCUGAAAUCAGUCGAAGAUACCAGCUGGCUGCAACUGUUUAUUAAAACACAGCACUGUGCAAACACGAAAGUGGACGUAUACGGUGUGACGCCUGCCCGGUGCCGGAAGGUUAAUUGAUGGGGUUAGCGGUAACGCGAAGCUCUUGAUCGAAGCCCCGGUAAACGGCGGCCGUAACUAUAACGGUCCUAAGGUAGCGAAAUUCCUUGUCGGGUAAGUUCCGACCUGCACGAAUGGCGUAAUGAUGGCCGGCUGUCUCCACCCGAGACUCAGUGAAAUUGAACUCGCUGUGAAGAUGCAGUGUACCCGCGGCAAGACGGAAAGACCCCGUGAACCUUUACUAUAGCUUGACACUGAACAUUGAGCCUUGAUGUGUAGGAUAGGUGGGAGGCUUUGAAGUGUGGACGCCAGUCUGCAUGGAGCCGACCUUGAAAUACCACCCUUUAAUGUUUGAUGUUCUAACGUUGGCCCCUAAUCGGGGUUGCGGACAGUGUCUGGUGGGUAGUUUGACUGGGGCGGUCUCCUCCUAAAGAGUAACGGAGGAGCACGAAGGUUGGCUAAUCGGUCGGACAUCAGGAGGUUAGUGCAAUGGCAUAAGCCAGCUUGACUGCGAGCGUGACGGCGCGAGCAGGUGCGAAAGCAGGUCAUAGUGAUCCGGUGGUUCUGAAUGGAAGGGCCAUCGCUCAACGGAUAAAAGGUACUCCGGGGAUAACAGGCUGAUACCGCCCAAGAGUUCAUAUCGACGGCGGUGUUUGGCACCUCGAUGUCGGCUCAUCACAUCCUGGGGCUGAAGUAGGUCCCAAGGGUAUGGCUGUUCGCCAUUUAAAGUGGUACGCGAGCUGGGUUUAGAACGUCGUGAGACAGUUCGGUCCCUAUCUGCCGUGGGCGCUGGAGAACUGAGGGGCUGCUCCUAGUACGAGAGGACCGGAGUGGACGCAUCACUGGUGUUCGGGUUGUCAUGCCAAUGGCACUGCCCGGUAGCUAAAUGCGGAAGAGAUAAGUGCUGAAAGCAUCUAAGCACGAAACUUGCCCCGAGAUGAGUUCUCCCUGAGACUUAGAGUCUCCUGAAGGAACGUUGAAGACGACGACGUUGAUAGGCCGGGUGUGUAAGCGCAGCGAUGCGUUGAGCUAACCGGUACUAAUGAACCGUGAGGCUUAACCUUACAACGCCGAAG